CUAUGUUAUUUAGUGACCUAAAUGUCCCUAGUGUUUCUGUUCCAUUAAUGGAAUGAAAUUAUUACUGGUGAGAUCUUCCAGUUUUCAGGCCAUGGUCCUCAAGAACUCCACCCAUUUGGACAGGACAUUAAGAGGUCUUUGUUUGUCAAGAAGAUUGAAGGAAGCAAUUGGGUUACUCUAGCGUGCAGGAUUACAGUUCAUCGGGAAUUAUCAAGAAACCAUUGGCAUCAAGACUGGGUGGGGUGCUGCCUGUGGAUUACGAGCCUCCAUUCUUUAGAAGCUGUUCAGAACAAGAAGCUCAUAAUCCAUGGAUAAAAAAUCCUCUGGAAAUGGAGGUUGGGAAUGUCAACAGCAAGCAUUUAGUAUUAGCUCUCAAGGAGGCCUGAAUGUGGAAGGGGAGGCAGACAACUGGGAUUUUGGUGUAGGCAUGUAGACCAGUGAAGACUACAACUUUAAUGCUAAGACAUGAUUUUUGAAUAUAUGUUAGUUUGUGAUUAAUGCGAAGACAUAAUUUUUGGAUAUAUGUUAGUUUGUGGUUUAAUGUUAAAACAUGAUUUUUG